rnacentral:rRNA from 1 species
UACAGAGGGUGCAAGCGUUAAUCGGAAUUACUGGGCGUAAAGCGAGCGUAGUCGGUUAUUUAAGUCGGAUGUGAAAUCCCCGGGCUCAACCUGGGAAUUGCAUUCGAUACUGGAUAGCUAGAGUUCGGCAGAGGGAAGCGGAAUUUCUGGUGUAGCGGUGAAAUGCGUAGAUAUCGGGAGGAACACCAGUGGCGAAGGCGGCUGCCUGGGCCAGUUCUGACGCUGAGGCGCGAAAGCGUGGGGAGCAAACAGG